UAAGAAAACCCAAAUUUUUGGAUUAGCAUCCUUCUUUCUCUCUCUCUCUCUCUCUUGCGUCUCAUCUUUACCAUGCUUGAUGGCCGCCGUUCCAUUUAUCGACGAUGACACGCACCGCAUAGGCAGCUUCACAGGCAGCCGAAACCCCAGCCCCCAUGAGCAAGCCACCCCACGCACCGCCUAAGGGCCACAACGUAGUUGCCGAAGGCGUCUGCCACCAAGAAGUUUCGAGGGAUUUUUUGGCGGUCUCCUAUCUUCCCAAGCCACUCCACCACCUCCACGAUAUUCUUCAUGGUUUGAGCUCCCAAACCCAGUAGUGGAUCAGAGCUAACCAUCACCAGAAAGUAUCUUUGAAUCACUCCAGAGUUGUUUACUCUCGGAGUCGAUCCCGUCGCAUAUGGUGGAGAUGGACGACACCACCCCGCUUGUUGAGUUUGAGGAUUCAAGUGCAACCUUUUUCUCCUUGGUUCUGCAUGUUUGGGUGGCCACUACUAUGAGCUGCCCCCGCCGUUGCCGAUACCCCUCUGUGGGUCUCGGCUAGCCACCAUUUUGGUGCCUCGGAUUUCACUUUGACCGCCAAAGCUCACCAUCAAACUCGUAUCAGUCUCCGGGUGUUGGGUAUAAAUUCUAAUCCUUAAAUUUAUAUAUUUGAGUUUUAGAAAUUAAAUGGGAUUUAGGAUAAUUAUUGUGCAUUUUUGUGUUUAAUUGUUUGUUAUGGAUUGUAUUGAUGAGUUAGAUCGUUCUGUGAUUUAUUUGUCUACUUUGGGAAUGUAACUGUGUUAUUUAUGCAGGUUUUUAAAAUUUGGGGAUGUCUGAUUUGCAGUCAUUAUGCUGCCUAAAUUUCUAGAAAAUUAACGAACUCGUAUUGAGUUAGUUAUAUAAAAUUAUUUGUUAUAUUAGAAUUAAUUAGAAUAGUGGUUUCUAAAGAUUGUCAAUUUAAGUUACGAAUAUGAAAUUUUUAGUUAGUAUUUUUAAUAUCUCUCGAGGCUAGAAAAAUAUUUUUAUUAGAAAUUUUUAUGAGCGAUAUGUUAUUAUGAGUUAAUAGUGCGGUUUUCAUAAUAAUAUCAAUGUUGUUAUCAAAUGGAAGCUAUUAUUAUGGUUAUUAUGGAUUUUGAAAGAAAUAGGAACUUAUGAUUUUUAACUUAGUGAAAGAGGAAAUUGUUCCUGUUUGAAUUAUCAACAUAAUUUUUAUAGUAUGAAUUUCUAAAUAAUAUUAGAAAUUAUUAAAAGGAAAUUAUUAUUUUCAUUAUUAUGAAUUAUGAAACAAUAAACAAAUAAUUUCCAAAGCUUGUUGAAUAAAGUUUUAUGAGCAUGAGCCUUAGGCUAUAUUAUUAUAAUAGCUUCAAAUUAUGAUAUGAGAUAUGGACACUAGUAUGAAUUAAUGAUUAAAGACCCAAAUUAACAUUUUAUUAAGAAUUUUAUUUUGGCAAUUAUGGAUUUUAAUCAUAAUUAUAUAGUUAACCAAGAAUAAUGGUUAUAUUAAUAUAAUUUUUUUGCAAUAAUAGAGAUCAAUUUUUUUUAUAAUUAUUAUGAAUGGGCUUGGGGUAAUUGUUUAUGAUUUAUGCAAAAUUAUUUACAAAUAGGGAUUUCAUCUAUGGAUAUCCUUAUUAUUAUUGCUAAGGAUUAUAUGCCUGCUGAUUUGCUAAUUAUUAUCAUUAUUCUGAUUUUCUGUCAACUAUGAAAAAAAGAAAGCUUGUAGAAAAGAAUAAUCAGAGAGCACAAACAAUUUUGUGUGGUUCAACCGUUAACGAGGUCUAGCCCACGAGUCACUUGUAUUAGGGAAAGGUCACCGAAAUCACAAGAUUUUUAGGGUUUUACAGCUUGGGUAGAUGAUUUUCUUAUUCCAAGGUAAAAAUGGGAGUCCAAAUCUAGGGUUUCAAAUCCUUACAAAUGAUCCCUCAUGAGGGUAGAAAUGGGCUGUUAGCCAUAAUGAAUAAAAUGUUUACAUUUAUUUCCUUAAUUUUUGGGGAAUUAUCCAUUACAGAAAUAAUAUUCUACAUGUGUCACUCAGCUACAGGCCCGAUUGGGUGGCCUUCUAACAUGAAAAGAGGGUGGUCCUCGAAAUCCUAACAGAAAGGUACCCGGGACCACUUCUCCAAUGAAGUCCGUGUGAAUCCUAUCCUUUGUGGUCCCUAGAUCUUCGAAAAUCUUGAUAGACCAUUAGUGAGGUUUCUCGAGCUCUCUGAGAAGUUGACGUGAAGGCUUUCUUCAUGGGUCUGAUCUUGGGGACUUCCCGAGAAGUUAUUCCACAAUGACUCACAGAGGGUUUUGAGGUCCUUCUUCAGGUGUCUAGUUGCUCGGAUAUGAAUGGUUCCUUCGCAGGGUAAUACUUUCCCAAGGAAUCCUUAGGAAAUAUGCCAUGUAUAUGAAUGGUUCCUUCGCAGGGUAAUACUUUCCCGAGGAAUCCUUAGGAAAUAUGCCAUGUAUGUGGUCACCUGUCAGGAAUUGUUGGAUGGUAGGGCGAAAAUGGUCUGAAACAUUUGCCCCCCAAGUCUCUGGCAUAUUUUGUGCGGUUGAGACUUCUCACCAAUAGACACGUGGCAAAAAAUUACUCGAGCCCCUAGUUGGCAAACUUGUGUUCGUGUAACGCCCUGGUUACCCCAGAAUAGUUACGGUGAACGGUGAACCGGAAAUUUGACUUGCUACCCGAGUCCUUUGGUUAAAACGUGCAUCUAAGUGUUAUUAACAGGCUAAGGUGAAAAACCAAUAAAAAGGAAAGGAUAUAUUUUACUAAAUAUAUAAAACUGUUCAUGGGCCCAUAAAAUCUUUUACAAGUUAUUCACAACAUAAAAUGGUCAUUACUAUUUCAAAUUUACAAACCCAUCGACCUAAGCGGCAAAAAUAGGGUAAACCCUUAGUUCCUCUGAGUACUCCUUGGCCGUGGUGGUCAAGCAGCCGCAUAUGUACACAUCACCACCUAAGCUCUCCACUCAAGGGUGGGUGAGCUUUUCUUUCCCUUUACCUGCACCACAUAGCACCCAUGAGCCAAGGCCCAGCAAGAAAACACAAUAUAGCAUGAUAUAAUAUCAACAAUGAUCAUAAUAAUCAUUCAGGACUUUCAGUCCAAAACAGACAAGUGACAGUCGCAAAAGUCACCAAGAUGGGAACAACUCCCUUUAGUCAUGUGACGAUAGGGUCACCGGGGCUUAAUAGAUAAGUGAACCUUUCACUAGCUUAAACAGGAUAGGUGCAUGGUGACUAGUCACCAACAUAACCUUCCUAAUGACCAUAGAGUCAUAACCCUGAAACAUCGUUCCCUAGCCAUGUGACAAACAGUCACCUAGGCCUUAGGCCUUGGCUCUGAGUAACUAGCUUAGGCUAGUCAAGUGCUUAUAAGUUUCAUCGACCUUAGGAUCGGUCCAGCAUUAAUGCCAUAGAGUCAUUCAAAGCUGAUAUCGAUUAGAUCUAAUCUUCAUUCGGCCCUGCGUUCAGGACGCUUAUGCCGUUUCUGACUCUUAGGUCAGUGUCCUUGACUAGUCAGUGCCAUAUACAAGUAAACAAUAUUCACUAGCAUUUAAUAUGCAAUCAAUGUCCACAUUUAUCAACCAACAUGCCUCAACAACAAUCAUGCAUGUCAUAUACACAAGGUGCAGUUUUCUUACCUCAGGUUCGAGCGAGAAGUAUUAUAAGAACGACUCCGGAGAACGAUCAACUUUUUGGUUCCUUAACGGUUACCUAAUCACAACCAAUUAUAACCUCCAUUAAUGAAAAUCAACAAUGAAAGGGUCUUAACCUAAACCCCACUCUCGGGACCUCGAAACAUGCCCAUACGGUGAGUAGAUUCGAUCCCGGGCCUUAAGGAUUGAAACCCCGAGCCAAAAACACUCAAAACAGGAUUCUGAAGGAACAGAGUAGCACUACAGCGUUGCUCCCUAGCGCUAUUCUCAGAACCCCCAAAAUUCCCAAAAGAAUCAUGUGUAGCGCUAUAGCGCCCUAGGAUGGGCGCUGUAGCGCUACACCCAGACCAGCACUCCCCUGAAACUUUCUUCUUCGACUCCUUCGAUUCCAACCUGUUUCCAAUGCUUCCAAAUCCCAUUUUUGGUGCCAAAUGAACCCAAAAACGAUCCUAACAUACCCCAAGCAUCACAAUCAUAAGAACCCUAGCCAAAUGUCCCAACAAAACCAAGUAUUUAACCUAGAAAUCACAACAGAAAACUAGAACCAAAACAGGGCAAACCAGAGAAUUCAAUGGCUAGAAACUUACCCCAAGCUCAGCUUGUGAUGCUCUUUAAUGGUGGAACACUCUCCCAAACUUCCAAGCUUGAAUCCUCAAGAAUGGUUCAAAAAUCACAAAGGAAACUGAAGGAGAAAAGGUACGGGAAGGUUCUUGAAGAUGCUCUGUUUUUUCUACUGCUAUUACAGCCUAAAAUGGUUUAUAUCAAUCCUAGGGUUGAAAAGACCAUUAUACCCCUAGGUCAAUUAAAGGUUUCUAAAGGCUCCCAAGGGAAAAAUUGGUAUUCCCCACCUUUCUCGUUAAUCAUAAUUAACGCUCUACAAUUCUCGCUAUUCUCGAUAAUCUCAAACACCAAUAAUUUAUAUCCCGUCACCCUUUAAUUCCCGGUAAUGCUCUAAUCAUUAAAAUCACCCCGAGACUCAUCCCGAGCCCCGAACUUAAACCUGUUAUGGCUAGACCGCUAAUUAAUAUUCCAUGACCGUCUCAUGCCGAAUAGAUCGAACAAACCCACAUUAUAAUGCAGUCUCAUCAAUAUGUCACCGACAUGCAUACAAAUAUACAAUUAUGCCAUCAACAGGCUAAAUUACCAAAACACCCCUGUAAUUACAAUGUGGACCCACAUGCAUUCAUUUAACAUCAUAUUAUAAUAUAAUUCACAUAUACAUACAUAUUAUCAGUUAAUGACAUAAUUAAACAAUUAUGGCCCUCCUGGCCUACUAAUCCCGCCAUUAAACCGCAUUAGGGAUUCCGGGGCAUUACAGUUCGGCUGGACAACUAUCAAACAUUAAGGCUGCUUUGGGACUUGUGUUGGGGUCAAGGCAGUGCAUGUGUUGAAUCCCUAGUGGUGGGACCUCUAUGAUUGGAUUAAAUGCUAAGACACGUGCUGCAAUCAGAGUGGUUAAACAUCUACAAUUGUAUUAAAUGCAUGGGGCACAUGUCGUGUCUUGACUAGUCGGGACUCUGGGAAUUCCCCUACUUGUUUGACUUGAGAAGUAGUUUGUCAACUCAACGAGCGUCUCAAGAUGGUACUUCCCUAGAUGGGUUGUCAGAUGGUAAUAGAGUCCCUCUGACCCUAAUCCCACAAUUGUUCUCUCUUUUCUUUCACUAGAACCUUUUUUUCCAUUUUCAUUUUCUUGAGUUGUAGAUCCAUCUCCUCAUCAAACCUGCUAGCUCACUCAUUGUUUUCCCUAGAGCCAAUCAACCACCCCAACAGUUCGGUGAGGAUACUCAAUGUCGAAAGGUGUCGAUUUAUUUGAGUGAGGACUACUUGUAAAGACCCAACUAAUAUAAAGACCUCGUACCUUUAGAACUACUAAGACCUAACUUCUAUCGUUUGGAUAUAUAUAUAUAUAUAUGUAAAAUAAUCAAACUUUAUUAUUAAUACUUAGAAAGUCCAAAAAUACGGGAUCCCAUUGUUCGUACAUAAAAUAAUAAAGGAAGCAAAAUAUUUAAUAAAAAUUUAAAUAUUUCAAAGUACUAAGUGCAGAAACUUUAAAGACAUAAUUCAAAAGACUAAAAAGUAACAUCACCCUCGAUCGAUCCCAUCAGUUCAUUUCUUUAGUUCCUCACCUGAAACACAAGCCAAAUCUGCCUCGGAUCUGUCCCACAUUCCAUGUUCAUUUUAUAGCACAAUCUAAAUAAAAAGGAGCGGGCCUAAUGCCCAGUAAGGAAAAACUACUAAAACAUAAAACAUAAUAUAGACUUCAAUAUUAAUGGUUAUUAACUCAUUAUCGUAGUAUGUGAUAAAAACCGCUAUAGUCCUCUUAUUUUAACUAUUAUUUUAGAGGUAGGUUUAGACACAACUAUAGUCUACGAUAACAAUAAAAAUCUCAGGAUUUUCUGUCUAAGCAACCGUAUUUCCCGAGUGAAUAAAGACAUAAAAUAACACAUACAAACACAUAACACAGAAAAUAUAACUUAUUUUCCUUACCAAAAUUGAGAUAUUGGAAACAAGUGCGAGAUUGGAAACUCAUAAAAUCAAACAUUAAAAACCAUAAGUUUCCUAGACAAAAGAAGAUGAAGAGAAGAUCUAAACCAUCAACAUAAAGACUUACCGAAAAUCUUAAGUUUCAAAGAAAUCGAGUACCUAACAAAAAUUCAUUAUGACGAGUUAGGAUUUGGAUUAAAAGUAUAAGAAUAAGAAGAAUAGAAAUAGACUAGAUGUAAUGCACUACUUUCUUAGAGUCGUUACCAUGUAAUUUUAAAAUGUGCCAUGAGCUCGCUAAUCGAGGUUUUCAGUUACAAAGUGUGAUUAAAAUUGAAAUAAAAACUCAUUUGGCAACAUUGGAUAUAAAGAUUUGGACAUUCAUUAAAAUCAUAAAAGUUAUACAUUUGGGAUCCCAAAAUACUGUUUAGAAAAUGUAUUACAACUCAAAAAUAUAAUUACGUUUGACCUAAGCGACAAAGCAAACCAUUACAAUACUUUCCCCAAAAUAACCCUGGUCGUGGCAGCUAGGUAGGCUGAACAUGUACCCGUCGCUCCAUGCUCUCUGACUCAUGGUUGGUCGACCUUUCCUUUGCCCUUACCUACACCAUAGAGCACCCUGAGCUAAAGCCCAACAAGAAAACUCAACUCAUAUAACAUAUCACAUAUCAAUCCAACAGUAUACCACAAAACAGUCAACAGACUAAACACAUAGUGGCCUACGCCGACCCAGGCACUUUAGCAGGCCUUGGGUUCGUAGUCUUCACCGAGCGGGUGGAUACAACACCCUUGGAUGGUCUCGCCCUAGCGGCCUGCACUCAACGUGCUUAACGCUGAUCCCGACCCCUUGUCCUACCUGACCUUCGCCGUUCUCGGCCUUCGUUGUUCAUUCAUUAACAUGCAUAACACGUCAUAUCAUUCACAGAUAUACACACAUAUGUUAAACACAACCAAUAGGGCCAUGUUCUGAAACACAAACAAUAGGGACAUGCCCUGCUCUACAGGCACAAAUACUUUUCUUACCUGUGUCCCGAGAUGAUUGAGUAUCGCAAUCCCGAGCACGAACCCCUAACCUGAGCUUUGGCAUAAACCUAUUCACAAUGCACCCAUAAUAUAAAUCUAUCAAUCCCUAAACCAAAUAAUAAUUUUAGAUUACUAUACUAGACUCCGGGACCUCGAAUUCUACUAAACCGGGUAGCAGAAUCCUUCCCGAGCCUUAACAUUUGGGUUCUCGAGCAUUGCACCGCUAUGCCCCCAAUAAGAGUCGCGACCCUCUCUAAGUCAGAGAGCCACGCUUGAAUUUCCUGGACAUGCGCCGUGGCGUGCCCUACCCAAAUGCCGCGGUGCUAAGGGGAUUCAGUGAACCCCCCCAAAGCCCCUGAGUUCAUGCGGGCCGCGGCGCUCAAGAACAGCGUCGCGAUGCGUCCCCGUAAACUUAUAAUUUCCUCCAUUUUCAAAUUUUUAAACCUCCUGCAAAACGAUCCAAACAGAUUCUAAUGCCCGAAUUGAGACCAAAAACACUUACACUAUACUCAGAACAACACAUAAACUCAAAUAAACUAAACAAAACCUCAUUAUAACCCAAGUUCAAUCACCUAAGUUUCAAACCCCAAAGCCCUAACAAAAAAUAGAGAAAUUCAUAAAAAGCUUGUUCUAAUCCUUACCUUUGUAAUGGAUUCGACCCUGAGCCACUUCCCAGCACUUCUAGCUUCAUUCCUCAACAAAUUCUAGCCUUGAAUCCUUAAUUUCUGGACAAUUCUUUUCAAAACUCUCAAAAUCCUUCAAAAGGCCAAGAGAGAGAGAGAGAGGGAAACAUGAAGGAGAAAGAGAGAGCUGGGUGAUUACUUGGUUCUGGGUAGUUCUAGGUUACCUAAGGUUAGCCUACUCACCAAAAGACCAACAUGACCCUAGAUACAUGCCUAGUCCUUCUAACCCACCAAGGGCAACUCUAUCAAUCGCACCAUUCCCGCUAAUUCCUCGAAUACUCCUAUGAAUCCCCAUUUAAUCCCCAAGACUCUUAAACCAACAUUAAAUCAUUACCCGUUACCUGGUAAAUCCCGAACACAUACUAUAUCCCCAAAAUACCCCUAGGCUCCUCCCGAUCUAGGAAUUCAACCCCGUUGUGACUAUUUAGCUAUUCUGCUCCCUAAGACCGUCUCAGAUCGCACAUAACAAAUAUAUCAUCUCAAUCUCGUGGUAUCAAUCACAACACACAUAUAUAUUGCAUUUAUGCCCUCAACGGGCUAAAAUUAUAAAUAUGCCCCUAAUUUCCAAAUUGGGCCCACAUGCAUAUUUAAUUCACCCAAACAUGCAUUUCUAAUCACAUAAUAACAUAAUUAAAUCAAUUAUUGCCCUCUUGGCAUGAUAAUCAAGGUCCUAAGCCUUAUUAGCAAAAUUGGGACGCUACAACUAUGCCCUCCUUGCUGAAAUUUUGUCCUUGAAAUUUACCUGAAUAACUCGGGAUAUCGAUCCCGCAUAUCAGACUCAAACUCCCAAGUUGCCUCUUCCACUUUGUUGUUCCUCCACAUCACUUUCACUGUGGCAAUGGUCUUGUUCCACAAGACUUUAUCUUUUUGAUCUAGAAUCUGAACUGACUUCUCCUCAUAAGAUAAAUCUUGAUCUAGCUUCAAGUUCUUGUAACUCAGCACGUGUGUAGAAUCUGAUACAUACUUCCGGAGCAUGGAUACAUGAAACACAUUGUGAACCCUUGAUAGAGAUGGAGGCAUCGCUAAUCUGUAGGCUACAUCUCCAAGCCGUUCUAGAAUCUCAAAGGGGCCAAAAAUCUAGGGCUCAACUUACCCCUCACCCCAAAUCAUUUCACCCCUCUCAAGGGAGAAACUCCGAGAAACACGUGAUUGUCGACUGGAAACUCUAUGCUCCAGCGUCUCAAGUUUGAAUAACUCUUCUGCCGACUCUUGGAGGCGAGCAUUCGAGCUCUAAUCUUCUUAAUCGCCUCAUUGUUCCUCUGAACAACCUCAGGACCUAAAUACUUCCUCUCACCUGUCUCAUCCCAAUGGAUGGGUGAUAUGCACUUGUUCCCAUAUAACAUAUCAUACAGAGCCACUCUGAUAGUUGCUUGAUAACUUUUAUUGUAUGCAAACUCAAUCAUAGGGAGAUACUUACUCCAAGAUCCCCCAAAGUCCAGUAUCCAGACUCAUAACAUAUUAUCCAGUAUCUGAAUCAUCUAGACUAUCCAUCCAUCUGAGGAUGAUAAGCAGUACUAAACCGUAAUUGUGUGCCCAUAGCCUUCUAUAGGCUCUCCCAAAACAUGGAGGUGAAGGUAGGGUCCAUAUCGGAUACUAUCGACCUCGGAGCCCCAUGUAGUCACAUAAUUUCCUUCACAUACAAUUCAACAUACUAGUCCACUAUAUAAGUGGUCCUAACAGGCAAAAACAGGGCUGAUUUGGUGUACCUAUCCACAAUCACCCACACCAAAUCAUACUGUCCCACAGUCUUCGAUAAUCCAACCACGAAGUCCAUGGUGAUAUCCUCCCACUUCCACUCCAAAAUCCCAAGGCUGCAGCAAUGCUGCUUGCCUUUGAUGUUCAGCCUUUACAUGCUGACAAGUUAAACACUUGGCCACAUAAUCCACCACAUCCCUCUUCAUUCCCGGCCACAAAUACCAGGUUGUCAAAUCUUGGUACAUCUUUGUCGUACCCGGAUGUAAGGAAUAAGGAGUGGUAUGAUACUCAUCUAAAAUCUCUUGCUGGAUACUGAAAUCCAUCAGAACACAAAUUCGACCUUUAUACCUCAGUAAACCCACCUUUGAAAUAAAAAAGUCCUUAGCUGCUCCGGCUAAGAUGUCCUCUGUGUAUUCCCUCAACUGGAGAUCCUCCCCCAUAUGCUUCCUUGAUCCUCUCAAGUAGCGUAGACUAAAGAGUGAUAUUGGCUACCUGACCUACUACCAAUUCAAUUCCUGCUCUGGUCAUCUCCUCAGCUAACCUACCUGAUAUUUGCCUUGAAUUGAAUAACUGUCUUGGGCCCUUCCGACUCAGCGCGUUAGCAACCACAUUUGCCUUCCCAGGAUGGUAUAGAAUGCCGCAGUCAUAAUCCUUUACCAAUUUCAGCCAAUGCCUCUGGUGCAUAUUUAGAUCAUUCUGAGUAAAGAUACUUUAGACUCUUAUGGUCAUUGUAUAUUUCACACUUCUCACCAUACAAAUAAUGCCUCCAAACCUUUAGUACAAAUACCACUGCUGCCAAUUCCAGAUCAUGAGUGGGAUACCUCUGCUCAUACUCCUUCAUCUGUCUCGAUGCGUAAGCUAUCACCUUCUCGAAUUUCAUCAAUACACACCCCAAACCCUGCUUGGAAGCAUCGCAAUAGACUACAAAUUUCUCAUUGUUUGACAACAGACUCAAUACUGGAGCGAUGAUCAGUCGCCGCUUAAACUCCUUGAAGUUGUUCUCACAUCCGUCUGUCUAUACAUACUUGAUCUUCUUACAUGUCAGUUCAUUCAAUGGUGUAGCUAUUAUGAAGAAUCCCUCAAUGAACGGCUGAUGGUACCCUACUAAUCCCAAGAAACUCCUAACCUCUGGUACACUGCUGGCCUGGGCCAAAUACUCACUGCCUCAAUCUUGUUUGGGUCCACAAAAAUCCCCUCCUUGCUGACAAUAUGCCCUAGAAAUGUUACUUGGGGUAACCAAAACUUACACUUGCUGAACUUAGCAUAUAACCUAUGCUCUCUUAACCACUGUAGUACCAGGCGAAGAUGUUGCUUGUGCUCUGGCUUUGACUGAGAGUACACCAGUAUAUCAUCAAUGAAUAUGAUCACAAACUUGUCCAAAUAAUCCCUAAAGACCCUAUUCACCAAGUCCAUAAAGGUUGCUGGAGCAUUGGUUAAUCGAAAGGAUAUGACCAGGAUUUCAUAAUGUCCCUACCUCAUGCGGAAUGCGGUCUUUGGUAUGUUCUCCUCUAAAAUCUUUAACUGGUGGUAGCCGGAACGAAGGUCCAUCUUAGAGAAUAAUGUCUUCCCCUGUAGUUGGUCAAACAAGUUGUCGAUCCUAGGAAGUGGGUACUUGCUAUUAAUGGUCAAUUUAUUCAACUCCCUGUAGUUGAUGAACAUCCUUAAGGGUCCAUCCUUCUUCUUGACAAAUAACACUAGAGCACUCCAUGGAGAAAAUCUAGGUCUAAUAAACCCUAAAUCAAGUAACUCCGGCAACUGAAUCUUCAGUUCCUUCAACUCUGUCGGAGCCAUUCUAUAAGGUGUCCUAGAUACUGGCUCCGCCCCUGACGCCAAUUCUAUGACAAACUUGAUCUCUCGGUGUGGUAGCAACCCUGGCAAAUCUGCUGGGAACACAUCAGAAACUCACAUACUAAUCUAGUCUCAUCCGGUCCAACCAAAACAACCCUAGAGGUAUCCACAAUGUUUGCUAGGAAUCCUAUGCAACCCUCUGGCAUUAGGUCUCUAACCUUCAGUGCCGAAAUCAUAGGUACUCACGGUCCAAUCACUAUUCCCACAAAUACAAAGGGUACCUCCCCUUCUUGUUCAAAGGUCACCAUCCUGCGCUUAUAGUCAAUCGUCGUCCCGUACUUUGAUAACCAAUCCAUCCCUAGGAUCAUAUUAAAGUCAUCCAUCACUAGCUCAAUCAGAUAACUCCCUACUGUCUAUCUCUAUUGGCAAUGCUCUAACCCAUCUCCUUGAGACUACCAGUUCUCUAGUUGGCAACAAGGUCCUGAAUCCCCUAGCAUACAAAUCACUAAGUCUACACAACAGAUCUAUCACUCUAGCAGAUACAAAUGAAUGGGUAGCCUCUGAGUCAAUCAAUGCAAUAAAGGAAGAACUGACACUAGAAAUCUGACCUGUCACGACUGAGGGGCUAGACUCAGCCUCAGUCUGAGUUAAGGUAAAUACUCUGGCAUGAGUGAGGCUGUCACUCUGCUUCAGUUCUUCUUUUUGGCUUGUGGGCAGUCCUUCCUCAGAUGACUAAUGCUCGCAUAAGUAAAGCAGGCCCUGAGGACACACUAGGAAUCUCCUCCAGUUGUCCCCCCCCCCCCCCCCCCGCCCUGACGACCACUGAAAGCACCCUGUGGCCUCCUAUCUGAGCCAUGAGGAACAAAAGAAUCUGGGGCCUUUCUCUUCUGCUCAUUGGGGCCACUACCCCAGCUAGAUCCAUUAAAAGGAGGCACCAUCCUGCAUGCAUCGCGCUUAGUGGUGCCCUCUCUACAUAUCUGGUCCUCAGUCCCCUCAGUAGUAAGGGCAUUCUCCGCUACCUGUGCAUAGGUGGUAGUUCUUGAAUCCAAUGUUAUCUUGAUGUCACAUGCUAUCACGAUGUUCAAUCCUUGCACAAACCGAUCCUUGCAUACCAUAUCAGUAGGCACCAUGUCCAGCGCGAAUUUCGCUAACUGGUCAAACUUUAAAUCAUACUCUAUAACUGUCAUCAGGUUUUGAGUCAGAUUAACGAACUCGUCCACCUUUGCAGCUCGGACUGCAACAUUGUAAUAUAUCUCAUUGAAUAUGUUUCUAAAUUCUUCCCAAGUCAUAACUAUCACAUCCCUUCUCUGAAACACAACAACCCACUAGAUGCGGAGUCUUCUCACAACAUAUCGCUAACGCAGGCCACUCUCUCAUUCCCUUCAACCCUCAUGAAAUCCAGGAUGGAAGAAAUCAUUUUCAUCCACUACUCUGCCCAUUGUGGGUCUGGACCACCCUCAAAGGUGGGAGGAUGUUGCUUCCUGAAACUCUCGUACAAGGUUUCCCACCUAUUUUCCAUCGCAGGCUGGGUUGGCACUGGUGCCACAGUCUGUGGAACGUGUAACUCAGUAUCCCGAGGAAGGGCUUGUUGCCUCAACUCCCGGAGCUCAUCUUUCGUUCGUUGAAGUCUGGCUUCCAUUUUGGCAUACAUUUGUUUCCAGUUCAGUGGGGCAGGUGGAGGGUCCUGACCCUCGUUGUCAUCUUUGGACCUAUUUUCGUGGAGUCUCAUCGAUCACUGAGGCAUAACUGCAAUAUGCCUACCAACAAUGACGUCGCACAUUAGGCAUGAUAAAAACAUCCAAAGCCACCUCCCAAUCUCAUCAAUCUGCCACAGUCAACAAAUCAACAUAUCGCACAUAGCAUAUAACAGUCAAGAGGGCCAUGCCUUAGCAUCAUGCAUAUAUCAACACAUUAAUCAUGUUUUAUCUAUACAUUUAGGAAAACAGGGAAACUUAAACAAGUAGUUAAGCAUAUAGUUCAUUAAAUACCGACCAACCCUGAGACGAGCUUGACACUGGCAGCGAGCGUACAUGUUCGGUCGAUCUUUAGGAACCAUAAACCUUGGUACGCUCUAAUACCAAAUUCUAACGACCUACUUCCUUAGAGCCAUUACCAUGUGAUUUGUAAAUGUGCCAUUAGCUCGCUAAUCGAGGUUUUAGGUUAAAAAGUGUGAUUAAAGUUGAAAUAAAAAUUUAUUUGGCAACAUUGGAUAUAAAGAUUUAGUCAUUCAUUAGAAUCAUAAAAAAUGUAGAUUUGGGAUCCCAAAAUAUUGUUUAGAAAAUGUAUUACAACUCAAAAAUAUAAUUAUGGUGGACCUAAGCGACAAAGCAAAUCAUUACAAUACUUUUCCCAAAAUAACCCAAGUCGUGGUAGCCAGGUAGGCCGAACAUGUACCCGUCGCUCAACGCUCUCCAACUGCGUGAACCGAAGCCCAGCAAGAAAACUCAACGCAUAUAACAUAUAAAAUCUCAAUCCAAUAGUAUACCGCAAAACAGUCAACAGGCUAAACACAUAGUGGCCUACGCCGACCCAGGUUCACUGUCUUCAUUGAGCGGGUGGAUGGUCUCGCCCUAGCGGUCUGCACUCAGCAUGCUUAAAACUGAUCCCGCCCCUUGUCAUACCCGACCUUCACCGUUCAUUCAUUAACAUGCAUAACGCAACAUAACAUUCACAUAUAUACACACAUGUAUUAAACACAACCAAUAGGGCCAUGCCUUGAAACACAAACAAUAGGGUCAUGCCCUGCUCUGUGGGCACAAAUAGUUUUCUUACCUGUGUCCCGAGUUGAUUGAGUACCGCGAUCCCCAUCACGAUCCCCUAACCCGAGCUUUGAUGUAAACCUAGUCACAACACAUCAAUAAUAUCAAUCCAUCAAGCCCUAAACCAAAUAAGAACUUCAGAUUACUAUACUAGACUGUAGAAACUCGAAUUCUACUAAACCGGGUAGUAGAAUCCUUCCCGAGCCUUAACAUUUGGGUUCCCGAGCUUGGAACCCUAAAUCAGCCAAAAUUACCUAUUGGCACUGCAAUGCCCCCAAUUAGAUCCGCGACCCUCUCUAAGUUAGAGAGCCACACUUGAAUUUCCUAGAAUCGCAUUGCGGCGCACCCUACUUAGAGCCGUAGAGCUAAGGGGAUUUAGUGAACCCCUGAUAGCCACUGAGUUCAUGCGGGCCGCGGUGCGACCCCAGAAACCCAGAAUUUCCCCCCAUUUUUAGAUUUCUAAACCUCCUGCAAAACGAUCCAAACAGGUUCUAAUGCCCGAAUUGAACCCCAAAACACUACUAUACUCAGAACAUCACAUAAACUAAAAUAAACUAAAUUCAAUCUCCAAAGUUUCAAACCCCAUAACUCUAACAAAAAACAGAGAAAUUCAUAAAAAGCUUGAUCUAAUCCUUACCUCUGUAAUGAAUUUGACCCUGAGCCACUUCCUAGCACUUCUAGCUUCAAUCCUCAGCAAAUUCUAGCCUUGAAUCCUCAAUUUCUGGACAAUUCUCUUCAAAACUCUCAAAAUCCUUCCAAAGACCAAGGGAGAGAGGGAAACGUGAAGGAGAAAGAGAGAGCUGAGUGAUUACUUGGUUCUGGUUAGUUCUAGGUUACCUAAGGUUAGCCUACUCACCAAAAGACCAACAUGCCCCUAGAUACAUGCCUCGUCCUUCUAACCCACCAUUUCCGCUAAUUCCUCGAAUACUCCUAUAAAUCCCCAUUUAAUCCCCGGCAUGCUUAAACCAACAUUAAAUCACUACCUAUUACUUGGUAAAUCCCAAGCACAUAAUAUAUCCCAAAAAUACCCCUAGGCUCCUCUCGAUCCAGGAAUUCGACCCCGUUGUGACUAUUUAGCUAUUCCGCUCCCUAGGACCAUCUCUUAUCGCCCAUAACAAAUUUAUCACCACAAUCUCAUGGUAUCAAUCACAACACACAUAUAUAUUGCAUUUACGCCCUCAAUGGUCUAAAAUUACAAAUAUGCCCUUAAUUACCAAAUUGGGCCCACAUGCAUAUUUAAUUCACCUAACACAUGCAUUUCUAAUCACAUAGUCAUUUGAUUUGCAUAUUAACAUUAAUAAAUCAAUUAUUGCCCUCCCGACACGCUAAUUAACUUAUUAUAAAAUUUGGGAUGCUACACUAGAUUUGAGGAUUAAGAGUGCCGUAGAUAGCUAGAGCUUCAAUCUAUAUCUUACUUCCCAAGUGUUUAGAAAAGCUUAGAUUUGAAAGCUUUAACCCCAAAACCCUAGUGUUUUUCUCUAGAACGAAAAUAGUAGCUUGGAGGCUCUGAGAAGUGUUUAAAAAAAUUCAAAUUACCGAGUGAAGGUAUUUAUAGGAUUCACUGAGUGAAACUAUCUCCCAUUCAAAUGAAUAAAUAAAUGAAUAAAAAUGGCACUUUUCGCUCAACAAAUGCUCAAAUUUUGGUCAAAAUUGUUUAAGAACAAGUCCAAGCAGUUGAGGACUGAUUCUAGCUUCAGAUCUAUAAAAAUUCAGUCUAUAAAAAUUUCUUACUCCUAUUAAGCACUCAAAUUCAACCAAAACCAGCUAACAGAACUAAGCCUCAUGCAAACUCAAACCUUAACUUGGUUUCUAACAGAAUUCUAGAGAAACUAACAAAAAUUCUUACCUCAGGUUGUAGCCCAAUUGCACAACUUCAAUCUUUCAAUCUUUGAGCUUCAAUUCCCAAGUUUUUUCCCAGCUGAAUUCCCUAGUUUAAUGCCUCAAUUCACCAAGAAUGCCUUAAGCAUAUGAGAGAGAGAGAGAGAGAGGAAUAUGUAUAUGAGGGAGAGAGAGAGAAGCUGAGAUUCACUUAAUACUUUCUAGUGAGUUCUAGUUAGAUCUUAGUUUAGUAGAUCAUAUCCCUUAAUCAAAAUGGACCAAAAUGCCCCUGAAAUCUUCCUAACAUUUAGUUACUCUAAGGGUAAAAUAGUAUUUUCCCCCAGUUCCCGCUGAUUCCUCAAGUGUUCCUAAUAUUUACCAAUUAAUCCCGUCAUGUCCAAUUAACCCCCAGUACGUAUUCUUUAUCUAAUAACUCCCAAAAUAUUUCCCUAGAUUCCCAAAAUACCCCUAGGCUCCCCCCUGAGCCAGGUAUUAAGCCUCGUUGUGAAUAUUUCGCUAGUCUGCUCACUAGGACCGUCUCGAGCCAUAUGCUGCAAAUAUAUCCACAUAAUGAUGUGAUCUUAAUCAUAAAUCACAUAAAAUCACAUUUAUGCCCUCAACGGGCCAAAAUUACAAAUAUGCCCUUAUAAGCUAUAAAAGCCCACAUGCAUAUCUAAUACUCAUAAACAUGCAUAUAAUAUAUCCAUAUAAUCAUAUUAAUCAUGCUUGCCACGUAGUCACGCAUUAAACCAAUUAUGCCCUCCCGACACACUAAUCAAGGCCCUAAGCCGUAUUAGCGAUUUGUGGGUCGUUACACAAUAACUCGAAAGGACCUAUGUACUGGGAACUGAGUUUUCCUUUCUUCCUAAACCACUUCACUCCUUUCAUUGGAGAUAUCCUUAAGAAGACUUUAUCUCUGACCUUGAAUUCCACAUCCCGUCGCUUGGCAUCUGCGUAACUCUUUUUUUGACUCUGAGCAGCGAGCAUAUACUUUCUCAUUAGCUCCACUGCAUCUUGAGCCUCUCUAACACCCUCGGGUCCAAGCAGUUGUCUUUCUCCUACCUCAUCCUAAUGUAAUGACGACCAACAUUUCCUUCUAUAAAGUAGUUCAUAGGGCGCCAUACCAAUUAUUUCUUGGUAGCUGUUAUUGUAGGAGAAUUCUGUAAGUCGCAAAUAUUUACUCCAUGAUCUUCCGAAGUCAUGUGCACAAGCGCGCAACAUAUCUUCUAAAAUUUGUAUGGUACGCUCAAACUAUCCAUCGAUAUGAGGAUGAAAUGCCGAAAUGAGACUUAGCUUGGUACCCAUGGAUUGUUGCAAGCUCCCCCAAAUCUCGAUGUGAACACCGAACCUCUAUUGGAAACUAUGGUCUUAGGGAUUCCAUGCAGUCGUACAAUUUCUUGAACAUAGAUGUCUACGUACUGAUACGCAAUGUAUGUAGUCUUGACUUGCGAUGCCUCAUGUUGAGCUCCUUUUGUGUGAAAAAAUAUUUUAAGCUUUUGUGAUCCGUAUAAAUCUCACAUCGUUCUCCAUAUAAAUAGUGGCGCUAGAUUUUUCAGUGUGAAGGCCAUUGCUGCUAACUCCAUAUCAUUUGUUGGAUAGUGUUUCUCAUAUUCCUUCAGCUGUCUUGAGGCAUAGGCUAUUACCUUGUCAUUUUUCAUUAGCAUGCAGCCCAACCCUUGCUUGGAUGCAUCACAGAAUACUACAAACUUGUCAUUGGGUGUCGGUACGCAAAGCACUGGUGUUGAACACAAUUUUUCUUUAAGCAACUGGAAGCUUUCUUGACAUUUAUUUGUACAAUUGUACUUUUGUUAUUUCCGGGUCAGGUUGGUAAGUAGAGUGGCUAUCUUAGAAAAGCCUUCCAAAAACCUCUAGUAAUAGUCUGCCAGCCCGUGAAAAAUUCUAACCUCUGACGCAUUCUUAGGUCUUGGACAAUCCUUCGCAGCCUCUACCUUAGUUGGGUCCACUGCGACUCCAUCCUUGGAUACUAUGUGCUCGAGAAACGCCACUUGUUAUAGCCAAAAUUCACAUUUCUUGAACUUGGCGUAAAGUUGGCGCUCCUUUAGUCGCAGCAUGGUCAGUCUUAAGUGUUCCUCGUGCUCGACUUUGUCCUUGGAGUACACAAAUAUAUCGUCAAUGAAUACCACAACAAAUUUUUCUAGGUAAUCCUUGAAGACCUGGUUCAUUGAGUUCAUAAAUGUGGCUGGAGUGUUGGUAAGACCAAAAGACAUAACUAGGAACUUGUAAUGUCUGUAUCGAGUCCUAAAAGCUGUCUUUGGUAUAUCUUCUUCCCUUACCUUGAGCUGGUGAUUACCGGACUGUAGAUCAAUCUUUGAAAAUACAGUCACUCCUCGGAGUUGAUCAAAUAAGUCAUCAAUCUGGGGUAGCAGGUACUUGUUCUUAGUUUUCACCUUGUUCAACUCAUGGUUAUCGAUACACAUCUGCAUGCUUCCAUCCUUCUUCUUCACAAAUAGAAUUGGUGCCCCCCAUGGCGAAUGGCUUGGUCUGAUGAAUCCCAAGUCUAAGAGCUCUUGUAAAUGCGUUUUCAACUUCUUGAGUUCAGUAGGUGCCAUCCGGUAUGGUGCCUUUGAGUCUGGCUCUGUUCCCGAUACUAGUUCAAUUGUGAAGUCAAUUUCCCAAUUAGGGGGUAGCCCUGGUAUGAGCCCUCUAGAAAACUUGGUUACCCACAAGUAGUCAUUCGAGGCUAACUCUGGUGUGAACUUUGCUAGCGGAUCAAAUUGUCAGGCAUACUCGACUAUCGACAAAUUUCCCUAUUUCAGGCUGAAAAAUUCUUCCUCCCUUGUAGCGAUGACUGCCAAAUUGUAGUACUUCUUAUGAAACAACUCCACAAAUCUGGCCCAGGUCAUGGUGGUGAUAUUGUGACACUGAUGCACUAGAUCCCACUAGAUUCUAGCAUCCUUUUUAAGUAAAGAUGAAACCCAGGAUAUGGGAUCCGCGUUGCCGAGGUUCAUGUUCAUCAGAAUCGAUUCUACAUUCCUGAGCCAAUCCUCAAUCUCAAAGGGGUCGGUUGUCCCUUCAAAAUUUGGAGUGUGCUACUUUCAUAAAUGCUCGUAGACUGGUUCCAUGUACUGGGCUAGAUAGGGUGAAAAUUUUUCCAUUGUCCAUCCCCCGUACGAGUAUCCUCCAUUCGGAUAGCCAUCAUUUUGGUAUAAUUCGUUCUGCUCUGGCUGGGGUGCUUGAGUCGUUGGCUGAGGCUGCAGCUGAGGUUGUUGUGUUGCUGGUGUAGUUCUUCAACUUGUCAUCGUAACUAGAUAACUUCAAUGUCAUUGUCAAAUAGAGGUGGUGCGUUCCUAGUAGCAGCAGUAGUGGCAGCAGGUCCUCCCCUUCUUCGGACUAGAGGGGUCUUGAGUGUCUUUUUGGUGGUGGCAUUGCCAUUAGUGCAUGCAGACCUUUGGAGCGACAUCUUUGGCAGAGUUCUAACAAUAAAGAGAAACAAGUUAGAACUUACCCUAAUAGUUUCUAAGGCAAAAUCUUAGUCUAAGCAAACAUAACUCGGACCUACCAUUUAUAAUUUCUUAUGAAAAAUUAUGUAAGUCAUCUUUAUAAAUUUGGGUGUGUUUCUUUACUUAGACUAUUAUGCCAUCUUUAUUACUUUUUCUAAGUCUAUUUCAAACCACCCUAUAUCGAAACUUGUCGUUGUUUCGAAGUUAACCAUACUGAGGGAGGGCUGAGAUCAGUACAAUUGUUCCCACCACUAUGGCCCCCUAAACUCUCAAUACAGAACUUGGUCCAUUGAUUUGUAACCCACCAAACUCAGUCAUUAUUUAUUGAAUUAUUCUAAAUUAAUUAUGAUUUCCAAAAAAAAAAUUCAAAUUUCGUACAUACCAUUCAAAAAUAAUAAUAACUUUAUUCAUUUGGAAAAAAUUCACUUAGUACAAUAAUAAUUCAAAAUAAUGACAGAAAUAAUACUAAUAAUAAUUCAAGUAAAUUUUUUGAAAAAUUAGGAUCUUCUACAUCUGAUCCUUCAUCUAAAAUAUCAUUAGUUAAUUCCUCAUAAUCAUCAUUAUCAUAAGCCUCGAAUCUACUACAGGAAAUAUUCAUUAGGAUAUUAUUCUUUUGUUCAUUGGUGAAUUAAAUUUCAACUAUAUAGGUAAACCUAAGUAUAAGAAAAUAAUAUCCAAUGGCUAUCAGUAAGUUGUCCUCAUUAUCUAGAGCUUCCCAUAAUUCUUUCAAUUUUGAAACUACAAAAGGCAUAUCUCUGAAAAGUCUAAAUACUAGGACAUAUUGAUCCAUGGCUCUCAUCAUAAUUUGCCUAGUGAUUUGAAGGUGAGAUAUCUCUCGAGUGAUUCGUUCUAGCACAUUUAUUGUAUCCUUUGGCUCUCUAAUCCAUUUCAAUGCCUUAAUGGCAUUGAUAUCGUGAUAAGUCAUAUAUUAACUAAAACAUUAGUUUUAACAUAAGCAUACUAUUCAUAACAUAAAUACUUACAUUGACGGUUAGACCUGGAGCUUUUGUGUGUGUAUCAAGGAGAACUUUAUGCAUAUAAACGAGAUCCCAUUGUUCAUUAAAAAAAAUAAAGGAAACAAAAUCUUUAAUUAAAAUUUAAAUAUUUCAAAGUACUAAGUACGAAAACUUUAAAGACAUAAUUCAUAAGACUCAAAAUAACAACGUCAUCCUCAAUCGAUCCCAUCAGUUCAUUUCUUUAGUUCCUCGCCCGAUACACAAGCCCAACCAUAUUUCUCGAGUGACUAAAGACAUAAAAAAAAACAUACAAACACAUAGCACAUAAAAUCUAGCUUAUUUUCGUUACCGAAAUCGAUAUAUUGGAGACAAGUGCGGGAUUGGAAACUCCUAAAAAAACAUUAAAAACCAUGAGUUUCCUAUAGAAAAGAAGAUGAAGAGAAGAUAUAAACUAUCCAAAUAAAGACUUACCGAAAAUAUUAAGUUUCAAAGAAAUUGAGUACCUAACCAAAAGUCAUUAUGACGAGUUAGGAUUUUGAUUAAAAGUCGAAGAAUAAGUAGAAUAAAAAUAGCUAGAUCUGAGGAUUAAGAGUACCUUAUAUAGUUAGAGCUUCGAUCUAUACUACAAACACCGAAAUCACACUAUAUCGUACUUUGCAAGUGUUUAGAAAAACUUAGAUUUGAAAACUUUAUCCCCAAAACCCUGGUGUUUCUCUCUAGAAUGAAAACGACAGCUUGGAUGCUCUGAGUAGUGUUUGAAAAAAAAUGCAAAUGACUUAGUGAAGGUACCUAUUUAUAGGAUUCAAGUGAAACUAACUCCCAUUAAAAUUAAUAAAUAAAUGAAUAAAAAUGGCAUUUUCUCUCAACAAAUACUUAGAACUCAGUCAAAAUCAUUUAAGAACAAGUCCAAGCAGUUGAGGACUGAUUCUAGCUUCGGAUUUCACGAAGAUUCAUAAUUGGCACGCACAACCGAUAUAUUGCCCACUAUAGGCGAUAUAUUGUCUACCCUGUUUUGUCGAGGUUCCGUGGUUUCAAUCAUACAAAGUUGACGUGUUUUUCCAUGUCAACAUAAGCGAUAUAUCGCCAUCUAUAGCUGCGAUAUAUCGCCUUACGCUUACAUAAACCACAUUUUUGCACGUUUUAAGCACACUUAAAGCUUUUUAAACCCUUUUGAUUGAUUAAUACGAGAUCCAAGCAUCUGAGGGAAGGUUCUAGACUUCCUAUGAAUAUCCUUACCUUUAUAUUUACCCAUGAUUAUUUUUAUUCAUCUAAAAUCCUUAAAUCCUUAUGUGACAAAUGUCACAUUCUUAAUUAUUCUAUUUAAAUCUUAGGUUAUAAUAAAUAAUUUUCUUAGGACCAAUUAAUAUUUCUAAACUAUAGGAUAAACUUAUAAAAUUCAUAACUAGCUCUACGAGUUUCCAAAAAAAAUCUCGACUUGGGACUAAUAUCAUGAAAAUUAAAAUGCUAUAGCUAAGUAAAAUUCUGAGACACUACACAAUCUGCUAAACUUAUUGACAUUUUUUAUCACGUAAUACUUUUCCUUUGGUUAACUCCCUCAAAGUUAUGUAUACUCUGUUUAUUUCCCAUAAGAUUGCGAUUUACACUAGGUUUAGUCCAUACACAGUACGUGAUUUCCGAGGUUAGUAAUUAUUCUAGUCAAUUCACAUAAAUCACUAUGUAUCAAAUCUAAUAAAUUAGAUUCCAUUUCAACACUUGGAAAAUGUUUCUUUACCAUCUUAGAUUUAACACAUAAUUCACACUUAUGAUGCUCAACAUCAUUGCAUACAAUUAAACCCCAUUUGAUUACUCUUUUAAUUGUACUAUAUCCUAUAUGAGUAAGCCUAUUAUGCAACAAAGUAAUAGAAUCGAAACCAAGCACAUAAGAGGAAGAUGAGCAUGCAUCAUUAUCAAAACCAUUGUCUUUGGUACACAAUAUAAUCAUCCCAUCAUACACAUACCCUUUCCCCACAAAGUAGUUGCCCUUGGAUAGAAUUAGCUUGCCAAACUCAAACUCCGCUUUGAUGCCCGAUUUACUCAACAAAUGCCCACUCACAAUAUUCCUACGCAUAUCCGGAACAUACAACACAUUGGUCAAUAAAACCUUAUUUCCAUAUGCGAAGUAAAGAUCAACAUUCCCCUUGCCCAACACUAUUGACCUUUGCUGAUUCCCCAUUUGGAUCUCAUGCUCAUCCUUUUACUCUUCAAAGGUUUUGAAGAUCUUUCUAUCAUAAGUAACUUGAAUGGUGGCACAAGUGUAAUACCACCAUCCUUGCACUUUUCUUUGGGUGACAUUCACCUCACUCAAGGUUGCAACCAACUCCUCUUUGGUUGUGUUGACCUUGGAUCCAUGGUUAUAGGGCUUUUGAUACUUGCAUUCUCUAUCCAUGUGGCCACUCUUGCCAAAAACAAAACAAGGGCCUCCCACACCCUUGAAUUGCCCUUCAUUAUUCCUUGGAGAUAGAUAAGUAUUUUUCUUUGAUUGAGGCUUCUCGUAAGUCUUCCAUUUGGAUUGAGAGGGUUUCUCUAUGGCGUUAGUCUUUGAUGUCCCAACAUUGGACUCUUCCAUGCACUUGUCUCUAGAACGAGAAUCCUCUUCAAUCCUUAAGUGCUUCAAGAUUUCUUCCAAAGAUAUAACUUCAUUCUUAUGGAGGAUCUUCUUUCUAUACCUUCUCCAAGCUGGUGGUAGUUUAGUUAUAAUCCCUCCCACAACGAAGGGUUUCAACAAUGUUAUCAGAGUAGAUAACUUAUUUACAAUAACUUGACGUUCAUGUACUUAAGGGAGUAAGGGUUUAGCAUCAAAUAAUUUCAAUUCCAUGUAUUGAGUGAUAAUGAAUUUUUUGGUACCUUCUUUUUCAUUUUUGUAUUUCUUCUCAAGAGCUUCCCAUAUUUCCUUUGCCAUUGUAGUGUUUGUGUAGAGAUUAUAGAAACGAUCCAAAAAAGCAUUGAGUAUGUGACCUCUACAAACGAGUUCAUCCUCUUCCAUUUUAUUCCUUUCUUUGAUCACAUCUUGAGAAUCAUCAUCCUUUGGGGGCUCCAAAGUCUUCAAAUGUUUGUCAAGGAUGUAGUGCACUUUCAAAGUUGUGAGGAGGAACUUGAUCUUGUCUUGCCAUCUUACAAAAUUUGAGCCAUCAAACAUAUCUACUCUUACUAGAUCUUGAGACCUGAAUUUGAGGGCUGAGACUGAAGAGCUUUCUUCCAUUGAUUUGGUUAGUAUAGAACCUUAGAGAUAGACAAACUUUGAUACAAAAGAAAGAUUAAGAGAGAGAUUUUUUAUUGUUGGAGAUUAGACUUAAUUAACCUUGUUUUGUAUAACAACUCAAAGCAUAAAACAACAAGUAAUCUAACUCUAUGUGUAGAUAAUCACAAAUUACAUAAACACAAAAGCAUCAAAGUAUAGAUUAGACCUUUCUCGAAGAACAAUCUUCAAACACAAAAUCACAAAGCUAUGAUUAUUGUGAAACACAAAGGUGAUAAGGCUUGACACAAAUGUAGAUUUGUUGUACAAAAAUCUCUAUUCCUAGCCUUCUCAUUGGAAUUGCUUGAAGCUACUACAAUGGAAUGAGAUUGGGAUUCAAAAGCCUUGAUCCUUCAUACAAGUCAAGCUUUCUUGAUGAAGAUCUUGGAGAAAAUUAGUAAUUUUGAAAGCUUGAGAGAGAGAGAGAGAGAGAGUUCUUUUUAAAGAGAGAGAGGUGAGUGAUCAAGUCACUAAUUAACUCAAAUGAUCUAUUUAAAUAGUAUAGGAACCUCAUUAGACUCAACCAAUGAGAUUAGAGCAUUUUAAUUUUAAUUUUGGAGCCAAAACAUGUCACUGUACGGAAGACCUAGGCGAUGCGUCGCCUGGCACCACGGGAUGCGUCACCUAGCACCAGACGACAUGUCGCUUGGUCUACUAAUUUUGCCUGUGCGAGGCGUCGCCUUUGGGAGGCAACGCAUCGCCAACGACUCUGUUUUGACACUAAAAAAUUUGUCUAAAAACAUCCCCAAAUGCUCCCAAACUUUUUAGGUACUCUCAUGUACUCCAAACAAACACUUUGGACCCAAAGCGAUGAUUUAUAAAUGCCUAUACUGAAAGUCAACACUCACAUGUUGACUUUUGUAAAAUCAUUAAGGUUUUUUCACCUCUUCGUGCUUAACCAAUUUUACCAUAUAUUUAACCAAUCACAACAACAUAUACUAUAUAUACAAUUUGAUAUGUCUAGCAACUCUAAGUAUUAUAUGAAUAUAGAUUCAUAUAGAUAUGUCUUUAUAGACUUGUGAAGUUUAAUAUUUGACUGAUUAAUAUUUUUGGAUUCUUACAUUUUAUUAUUAGUUUUUAUAUUAAGUUUUAAAAAAUUAUGUUAGUUAACUAAGUGAUAAAAAAUUCGUCUUUUUUUUGUUGCUGAUUUUUUGGUUGAAAAUUUAAAUUUCUUUAUAGCUUAUAGAUAACUUAUUCAUUUGUUAAAUAUGUGUGCAUAACAUCUUUUGGAGAGAAAUCUUUUGUAGAACAUGGAGCUAGUUUUAUCUUUCUUAAAUCAUUAUGAACUUUCUUUUAAAUUUGUAGACUUUUAAUUUUAUUGAGGAGAAUUUUAAUAUUUACCACUGUAAUUUAUUAUAACUAUGCUUAUAUGUUAUGCUUUGCUUGCAAGCUAUACAUAUACAUUGAUGCAUGACAUGGGUACUAAAUUAAUUACGAUAUCUUUUUUUUAUAGGUUUUUUAUUGACAUUGUUCAUGAUAUAUUAUUACUGAUCUAGAAUAUUUUUUUGUUUUUAAGUAAAUUAUGAGAAAAUUAAAUUCAAUCAUUUUUUUAUAUCAAAAUUAUAGCUUAAAUUUUCUGCAACAAUCCAAUGAAACAAACCCAACCCAACCCUGAUAUCCAUUUGGAAAGUAGGGUUGGGUUGAAUAAUAAUAAAAAGGAAUGACCCAUAAUUUUUCCAAAUCGUAGUCAUUGGGUUGGCCUAUUCAAACACCUCAAAACCGGCCAACCCAGCUCGUGUGACCCCUAAUUGGAGGUUGCUAGAGGAAGCACGCUGGCAAGUCCUCAGGGGCACAUAAAAGAUUGAGGGUCAACACCACAAAUGUCCCUGCAGCUGCCUAGGCGGUGGAUUAACUGUCUCAAUUAGCGAAGCCCAUCAUCAACCAUUGGCUUGGUUCUCCUGGUGGACCCUCUUAAGGACGUGGCCAAUCCCCUUCCCCUACAAUUGGAGGAUAUCAAAAGGCUCUCUGCGACCUAAGAGGCCUAUUGCUGAGGAGUCGACACCCUCUUUGGCAGCUUCACUGAGUCACGGCCCCCUUUCUGGGCUCCCGAGUGAUCCCUCUGCUGAGUAUGGCCAAGACGAUUCAGAGGCGUCAGCCAGUGCUAUGUUCAAGGAGUUCCUCCGAGGACUUGGGGAGGAGGUCGCCCCCUCGCUACAGGACUAUCGACAAUGGUGGGUGAAAUUAUGGGGAGUAUACCUUCUCGUUGAUGGGCUCAGCUGCAAGAGCAAAAGAUCGCCCAUCUUUCUCAAAGCCAAUCGGUGACCUCCGUUCUGAUGACCCUCCUCACUAUUUAACAAAGUGAGUUUGUGAAUUGACUUAUAUGGGACACUCAAUAUCUUCAAGGGGAGCUCUAGAAUUACACUACCAUGCUGAAAAAUUCUGAAGAGGGGCAGGCAAAGUUGAAAGGGGGUGGCGUUCUUCCUCCUGACAAGGCGAAGACGUUUGCUCAGUCUCUUGCGAAGGCUGAACUUGCUCGAGAUGAAGAGAAAGCUCGUAGGAAAUCUAUCGAGAAAGAGCUGGUCAUGAAAAUUGCCAAUAAUGAGGAGAAAACUCUUCAUAAGGUUGUUGAGAAAGAGCUCGCUGAGGCUUGAGUGAAAAUAGUCGCCCUAGAGAAAGACAAAGCAGACCUGAUCCACCAUAAGAUGACUCUAAAGUCUAAGAACCACGCCCAAGUAUCCCAGGUGGUCGAGGUGAUUAAGGAGCGCUUGGCGGAGAAUACAAAAUUUCGUGAGUUGUCCAACUCGGUUGGCAUGGAUGAUAUCUUUCAAGUGUUGCUCUUCAACCCAGAACUGGACUUGAGCUAUCUUGAAGACGAUGAGGCCUACGUCUGAGCCCUUUGUGAAGAGCGUUUGAAGGCCGAGGAGGCCCAUGAAAAUAGUGUGUGAUGACUCCUGGAACUACAGGCCUAUUGGAUGUCAUUGUUCUUGCUGCUGAGCUACCCACAGGGUCCUCGGGCGCUCCUACCAAUGGUGAUGGGUAGCCCCUUCAGUAGCCUUGUUUUUUUUUAUUUUUCUAUGUGUAACUUUUGUUAGUCCUCGGGCCCUCGGAGCUCAAACUUAAUAUCAUUCGCACUCCCGAGCUCUUUGUACAUAAAUUUUAAUUUUAUCAAUGUAAUAUAUAACUCUUUUUACUUAACACAUUUAUCCCCUUUAACUUAGUCAAUUAUGCUUUAUGGUUCUUCAUACAUGUAGUUUUUGGCAUUGAGGCCUCGCAAUGCACUCAUGCCUCCAUAGUGUAAAUUGGUAUCGAUGUUCUCUGACUAUGUUUGGAUUGAUAGGCAACUUUAUGCCUGAUUUUUUAAGUAUUUCGAGUUAUUUUGGUCAUUAGGGCCCAAGACGCACUUCCAGGUUUUUCCACAUAUACCACUACGCAGUUUAAACCUAGGUUUGUAGUUUCAUGCUCAUUUUGAGAUUUUUACGUACUUAUCAGUUUGACACUAAGUCCCUGGGAUGCACUCAGGUCUUGUAGUACGAUUACUCAACUUUCCUAGCUUUAGUUCAUUCUUUUCCCAACUCUAAGGUACCUCUUUUAGGUUCCUCUUAUCCUAGUUGGCCUAACGAUUUAAAGCUAUAUUUGGAUCCGCUGCUUUUCGUGUUGACUUUUGGGUCUGAGGACACCAUAGUCGUAAGCGUGCGGUGGUCGGAGACCAUGUUCGAGAUCUUGCAUGCCUAUUGUCGACACUAAGGUUUUAAAAUACUCUAAGGUACCUCUUUAGGUUACUUUUAUUUGAGUUCUGCUUAGGUCUAGCAUUCUAGAAAUGUAGCUCUUGAGUGAUUCGAGCCCUACUUAUCUGCCCGUCAAGUGAUUAGAAAUCUUUAAUAUGUGAUCACUUGUUUAGGUUUUUGGGCGAGUCACAUGCGAUGCCAUUAUUGAUACAUAAUUAAACAAUAACUUCCUGAUAUACCUCGUAUCUUGUUUUAGGACUACAUGAUAUUAACGAAUUUUUGCUCAUAGUUCAUUGCAUAGACAAACCAAAAAAAAAAAAAGGAAAUUGCAAGUAAAAAAUAGUGCAGAUCUUUGCUAAAAUUUUCAUUAGUAAUGCCGGCGAAGGUGCUCGGCAUUCUUGUCAUGCGAUAUUAAUUCUCCGUUCAAUCUGACCAACUUAUACAUCCUAGGCCUGAUGAUUUUCUUCACCUGGUAUGGACCUUCCUCGUUGGGGCCUAGAACCCCUACUCUCGGAUCUUUGGUGGAAAGGAACACCCGCCUAAGGACGAGGUCCCCUACCGAUAACUUCCGAUCUUUUAUCCUAGAGUUAAAAUAUCGAGUGACCUUUUUUUGAUAUGAUGCGGCCUGAAGCUAUGAUAGCUUACGGUAUUCCUCAACCAGGUCGAACGACUCUUGAAGUAGCUCAAGGUUGGUUGUCGGGUCGUAGGUGGCACGUCGAUGGGUGGGGAUGGUUGCCUCAACUAGGAGCAUAGCUUUGCACCCAUAGGCCAUGUAGAACGGUGUGUGUUUAGUGGUUUUCCAAGCAAGAGUUCGAUAGGCCCAAGUACUUGGGGCAUUUCUUUGGGCCAAGCACCAUUUGCUUGUUCCAACCACUUUUUUAGGGACAUUUUGAGUGUUUUGUUCAAAGCUUCUACUUGGCGGUUUUCCUAGGGGUGUGCUACAACUGAGAAGCUCUUGUGAAUUUCGUGCUUCUCACAAAAAUCAAUGAAAAGGCUGCUAUCGAACUGUAAACCAUUGUCGAACACCAGCUUUCUCGAGAGGGCAUAUUAGUAGAUGAUGUUCUUGAUUUUAAAAUCCAGAAUUUUCUUGGACAUGAUGGUUGCAAGUAGUUCGGUCUCAACCCAUUUGGUGAAGUAUUCGACGUCUACCAUUGUGUAUCGUACACCCAUUUUCCUAUAGGUAACGACUUGACUAAGUCGAUUCCCCAAACCGCAAAGGGCCAUCUGAGUUAACUCAUUGCGAGGUGCUCAGAUUAUAUUGGCAUACCGCUGACAUUUUUUGAAUCCUUUAAUGUAGUCUAGAGAGUCUUUGUUCAUGGAUGGCCAAAAUUAACCCUGCCAUAGGAUUUUCUUGGACAAACUUUUCCCAAAGUAUAAUCAUCGCAGAACCCUUCGUGAACUUCUUACAAAAUGGCUUUGGACUCCUCAAGGAUUACACUUCUUAGAAGAUGCAUCGAGUACGACCUUCUAUAUAGCAUGUUGUACAUAAAAAUGUAGCAAGGGAUUUGGUAAUUUAGUGACAUUCUGUUUUUUUUUUCAGUUAGGAGCUCUCCGGUGGUUAUAUAUUUUAUGACUGGUCCCAUCCAUGUGUAACGUCCCAAAAUUCCUAAUAAGGCUUUGUUCCUUGAUUGACGUGUCGAGAGGGAACAUGGAGUAAAUAUGGGUUAAUUAAGUGGAUGAAUAUGUGAUUAUAUGAAUUAUAUGAGUUAUAUUAUGAUAUGAUUGUUUAUGCAUGCUUAUGUGUAUUAAAUAUGCUUAAAGGCCUGUUUUUGUUAAAAAAAGGGCCAUUUUUGUAAUUUUGACCCAUUGAGGGUAUAAUUGUAAUUAUAUGUGCUAUAUGUUUGAUACCACAUUAUUAUGUGGAUAUAUUUGAGAUAUUCGUCAAGAGUCGGUCUUUUCGAGAAAAAUAGGGGUAAAGUCACAACGGGGAUAAAUACUCGGCUCGGGGUGAGCCCAGGGGUACUUUGUAAUUUGGCAAGUUACUAGGAUUUAUUGGGUAAUUGGAAUUAAUUUUAUGAGUGUUUGGGUUUAAUGGAUUUAAUUGGGAAAUUCGUGUUGAAAUUUGAGGUUAGCGGGAAUUUUGGCAAAUGAUUAAAAUGCCCUUGAGUUGGUUACGAGGACAAGUUUGGAGUAAAGGAAAAUUGGUCAUUUGACCACACAAUUAGAGUAAGAGGCAACCCUUUGCUGAGGGUUUGGUCAUUCACGUAUACACUAGCUCUCUUUCUCUCCUUGUUUUCUUUCAAAUGGUUAAGCACACUCUAAGCUUUCAAUUGUCCAAUUCUUGAAGUUAGUGGGAUUUCUUGAGGAAAUGGGGGAUUCCCUAAAGCUAGGAGAUGUCAAGUGAUCAUUCAAGGGCUAGGAUCACAAAAUUCUUCAUCAAAGGUAUGGAUUUUUUGAGUUUUCUUGUGUUCUUCAUUAUUCUUGAAGGAUUUUGGGUUAUGGCUUAUUUUUUAAAAAAUUCUUGAGUUCUGAGUGUUUAUCUAAGAGCAAUGAUGUUAGAAAUAUGUUAAGCAAAAAAUUUGUGCACUAAAAUUAGACUGAAAAUCUGUAAGUUAAGGUUUGAUUUUUGGAUUUGGAAAGAAAAUGGAGUUUGAAGCUCAAAUUGGUGAUUUUGGGUUUUGGAGUUGUUUUGGUGGGUUUAGAGGGUAAUAUUUUGUGUAUUUGUAUUGCUUGACCAACUUGAUGGUCAAUUUUGAUUAAAAUUGGUUUUUGGAUUGGAUUUGGGAGAGCUGGGAUUUUAGGAAAUCGUUGGUUUUCUGGGUUUUUUGGGUAGCAACACGACACUUGUCAAGAGUGUCGCGACCCACGUGAACAUCUUCGAGGCUGGGGGUUCCCUUGGUGCGCCUUAGCGAUGCAGCACAAAUUGGAGGAAAAAUCUAGGUGGGCUCUCUGCCUAGUCUGGCGCUGUGACCCUUGGUGGUGGUCGCUGGGAUGCUAAUUGCAAAAAGAUUAGAAAUGAAGUUUUGGGUUAUGGGAACCCUAACCUAAGGGCGUGGGAAUGAUUCUACUUCCUAGUUUAGAAGGAUUUAAGGUCCCGAGGGCUAGGGUUUGGUCGUGAAACCCUUUACUGGUUUGAUUCUUGAUGAAUAUUCUUUAUUAUGGCUAUGACUAGGGUGUACUGCUAGGUUUGGGAGGAAAGGAUCGCACUCAGAGUCAUCAUACCUAGUUUGCUCAAGACUUGUGGUAAGAAAACUGCACCUGGACUGUGAUUAGGGCUUAAGCCUCGGUUAGGGAACAUGGUGAUAACCAUGCAUGAAAUGUUUGAUUAAACAUGAUUGAAUUGCACUGUGUUUAUCUGUAUUAAGUUAUAAAUGCUUAUCUAUUUGUAUCUGAUUGAAAAACUCAACUUAUAAGUCGUGGUUGACAUUAGAGUGCGGAACGCAACCCGUUAUGGUUGGGCCACCUCAGAAGGGUGAUAUACGCUUGCACGGAUCUACAGCCGCUUAAUAUAGAGUGUGGUUCACACUUGGCCGGCUCUGUAGUCGUUUCAAAAGGAAUAGUGUGAUGGGCACAUGUGUAGCUCUAUGGCCUCUUAAAUGUAUUGAAUGCAUGCUAUUUUUUAUUUGUAGUCUGUUGAAAAGCUGUUUAUGAGCAUGUUUAUAUUUUCUUGCUGAGCCUUGUCUCACAGGUGCAACGUGGUGCAUGUAAGGGCAAAGAGAAACUGGACCAACCAUGAGUUGGAGAGCUUCAAGGGCGGAGUGUACAUAUGUGACCUGCUCGACCGCCACGACCGAGAUUACUUGCUGGAACUAGGGUUGAACCCUGAUUUUGCCACCUAGGCCGACCAUUUGUGUUUAUUUUUUAUUUGUAUCAAUUAAUAGAUUCUUUUUGCAAUCCCGUGUACAGACUUAAACUUUUUUAUGAAAUGAUUACUGCUUGACCAAAAAUUUUAAUACCUAAUCCUUGAGUUUGUAA